GCAGUCGAGCGAACAGAGAAGGAGCUUGCUCCUUCGACGUUAGCGGCGGACGGGUGAGUAACACGUGGGCAACCUACCUUAUAGUUUGGGAUAACUCCGGGAAACCGGGGCUAAUACCGAAUAAUCUGUUUCACCUCAUGGUGAAACACUGAAAGACGGCAUCUCGCUGUCGCUAUAGGAUGGGCCCGCGGCGCAUUAGCUAGUUGGUGAGGUAACGGCUCACCAAGGCGACGAUGCGUAGCCGACCUGAGAGGGUGAUCGGCCACACUGGGACUGAGACACGGCCCAGACUCCUACGGGAGGCAGCAGUAGGGAAUCUUCCACAAUGGGCGAAAGCCUGAUGGAGCAACGCCGCGUGAGUGAAGAAGGAUUUCGGUUCGUAAAACUCUGUUGUAAGGGAAGAACAAGUACAGUAGUAACUGGCUGUACCUUGACGGUACCUUAUUAGAAAGCCACGGCUAACUACGUGCCAGCAGCCGCGGUAAUACGUAGGUGGCAAGCGUUGUCCGGAAUUAUUGGGCGUAAAGCGCGCGCAGGUGGUUUCUUAAGUCUGAUGUGAAAGCCCACGGCUCAACCGUGGAGGGUCAUUGGAAACUGGGAGACUUGAGUGCAGAAGAGGAUAGUGGAAUUCCAAGUGUAGCGGUGAAAUGCGUAGAGAUUUGGAGGAACACCAGUGGCGAAGGCGACUAUCUGGUCUGUAACUGACACUGAGGCGCGAAAGCGUGGGGAGC
rnacentral:rRNA from 1 species